rnacentral:rRNA from 1 species
UAGGGAAUCUUCCGCAAUGGACGCAAGUCUGACGGAGCAACGCCGCGUGAGUGAAGAAGGAUUUCGGUUCGUAAAACUCUGUUGUUAGAGAAGAACAGCGCAUAGAGUAACUGUUAUGCGUGUGACGGUAUCUAACCAGAAAGCCACGGCUAACUACGUGCCAGCAGCCGCGGUAAUACGUAGGUGGCAAGCGUUGUCCGGAUUUAUUGGGCGUAAAGCGAGCGCAGGCGGUCAAUUAAGUCUGAUGUGAAAGCCCCCGGCUCAACCGGGGAGGGUCAUUGGAAACUGGUUGACUUGAGUGCAGAAGAGGAGAGUGGAAUUCCAUGUGUAGCGGUGAAAUGCGUAGAUAUAUGGGGGAACACCAGUGGCGAAGGCGACUCUCUGGUAUGUAACUGACGCUGAGGCUCGAAAGCGUGGGUAGCAAACAGG